rnacentral:rRNA from 1 species
AGUGAACGCUGGCGGUAGGCCUAACGCAUGCAAGUCGAACGGCAGCACAGUAAGAGCUUGCUCUUACGGGUGGCGAGUGGCGGACGGGUGAGGAAUACAUCGGAAUCUACUUUUUCGUGGGGGAUAACGUAGGGAAACUUACGCUAAUACCGCAUACGACCUACGGGUGAAAGCAGGGGAUCUUCGGACCUUGCGCGAUUGAAUGAGCCGAUGUCGGAUUAGCUAGUUGGCGGGGUAAAGGCCCACCAAGGCGACGAUCCGUAGCUGGUCUGAGAGGAUGAGCGGCCACACUGGAAGUGAGACGCGGUCCAGACUCCGCGGGGAGGACGCAGUGGGAAAUAUUGAACAAGGGGCGCAAGCCUGCACGAGCCAUACCGCGGGGGUAAAGAAGGCCUUCGGGUUGUAAACCCCUUUUGUGGGAAAAGAAAAGCAGCAUGUUAACACCCCGUUGUCCUGACGGUACCCAAAAAAAAAGCACCGGCUAACUUCGUG